UUGCCUCAGCCUCCCAAAGUGCUGGGUUUACAGGCAUGAGCCACCGCAUCUGACUUUUCUUUUCUCUUGAGACAAAGUCUUGCUCUGUUGCCCAGGCUGCGGACAGUGGCAUGAUCACAGCUCACUGCAGCCUCAACCUCCUAGACUCGAGCAAUUUUCUCACUUCAGCCUCCUGAGUUGCUGGGACCACAGGUGCACGCACCACCCCCUGGCUUUUAUUUUUUUAUUUUUUUUAUUUUUUGGCAGAGACAGUGUCGCCUUAUGUUGCCCAGGCUGAACACCUGUGUCUCUUAACCUAAGAGCUGUCUCCAGCACAGGAUGCAAGACAGCCCCAACAAAGUGUUAGGGACUUAAAGCCACCAGAAGCUAUUCUUAACCAAUGGAAUACAGGAGUCAAUGGGAACAUCCUGUCCAGAGGAAAGGAUAUUUAAGGAGAAAGGAAGCAGCACAAGUUCGACUCAGCCAAGAAACAGAGGAAGGACAUCCCAAGCACGAAGUGGGGCACCGGUCUGUGUUCCAGCGAGAGGGUCUUGCUGUGUCUCCCAGGAUGGAGUGCAGUGGCAUGAUCAUAGCUCACCACAGCCUCCACCUCCUGGGCUCAAAUGAUCCUCCCACCUCAGCCUCCCAAGCAGCUAGGACUACAAGUGCACACCACCACCACAUCCAGUGGCAGCCAUAUUACAACUAUGAGGUUACAAGGUUGAGAAAAAAGCCGACACACUGAGGAUGGCAGAGUGAAGAGAUGGAAAGAAUAAGCGUCCUUGAAGAUAGUGUUGAGCCUCUGUAUCCACCAGCCCAGGACCACCUAUCUCUGGAUUUCUUGUUCUGUAAGAUAAUAAAUCUUUCCCCACAGAUCAUAAAAUCUAUGAAGCCAGAGUUUUUCUUGGAUUUUCAGGAGUGGUGAGGGGGUUGGUCUGUUUUAUUCAUUGCCAUAUCCCCAGCACCUAGAACAGUACCUGGAACAUAGUAAGUGAUAGGAAAAUGUUUGUAGA